rnacentral:rRNA from 1 species
AUUGAACGCUGGCGGCAGGCCUAACACAUGCAAGUCGAGCGGCAGCACAAGGGAGUUUACUCCUGAGGUGGCGAGCGGCGGACGGGUGAGUAAUGCCUAGGGAUCUGCCCAGUCGAGGGGGAUAACAGUUGGAAACGACUGCUAAUACCGCAUACGCCCUACGGGGGAAAGGAGGGGACCUUCUGGCCUUCCGCGAUUGGAUGAACCUAGGUGGGAUUAGCUAGUUGGUGAGGUAAUGGCUCACCAAGGCGACGAUCCCUAGCUGUUCUGAGAGGAUGAUCAGCCACACUGGGACUGAGACACGGCCCAGACUCCUACGGGAGGCAGCAGUGGGGAAUAUUGCACAAUGGGGGAAACCCUGAUGCAGCCAUGCCGCGUGUGUGAAGAAGGCCUUCGGGUUGUAAAGCACUUUCAGUAGGGAGGAAAGGGUAAGGUUUAAUACGCCUUAUCUGUGACGUUACCUACAGAAGAAGGACCGGCUAACUCCGUG